rnacentral:hammerhead_ribozyme from 1 species
GCACUGCUGAGGAGUCCCACAAUAGGACGAAACGGCCGUCCAGUG